AUGCUUAGCCAUAAACUCAGAUAUUUUAUACACAAAAAUAUCCGCCAGAGAACUACGAGCAAAACGCUUAAAACUCUAAAGACUUGGCGGUGCCCCAAACCCACCUAGAGGAGCCUGUUCUAUAAUCGAUAAUCCACGAUUCACCUCACCAUCUAUUGCCAAUACCGCUUAUAUACCGCCGUCACCAGCCUGCCCUGUGAAGGAUGAAAGAGCAGGCAAAAUAGCCAACAACAGCUAACAAGUCAGGUCAAGGUGUAGCUAACUAAGAUGGAAGAAAUGGGCUACAUUUUCUAAAUUAGAAACUACUUUAACGGAAAGAACUAUGAAAUAAGUCCUAUAAGCAGGAUUUAGCAGUAAACAGGGAUCAGAAUGCCCAAUUUAAGCCGGUCCUAAGGCACGCACACA
rnacentral:rRNA from 1 species